rnacentral:rRNA from 1 species
UACAGAGGUCUCAAGCGUUGUUCGGAUUCAUUGGGCGUAAAGGGUGCGUAGGUGGCGCCGUAAGUCAGGUGUGAAAUUUCGGAGCUUAACUCCGAAACUGCAUUUGAUACUGCGGUGCUUGAGGACUGGAGAGGAGACUGGAAUUCACGGUGUAGCAGUGAAAUGCGUAGAGAUCGUGAGGAAGACCAGUGGCGAAGGCGGGUCUCGUGGACAGUUCCUGACACUGAGGCAGCGAAGGCCAGGGGAGCAAACGGG